GAAAUGGACGAAAGUCUGAUCUAGCAACACCGCGUGUGCGAUGAAGGCCUUCGGGUUGUAAAGCACUUUUUGGAAGGAUUAGGAAGGAAUGUACUUCCAGAAUAAGUCUCGGCUAACUACGUGCCAGCAGCCGCGGUAACACGUAGGAGGCGAACGUUAUCCGGAUUUACUGGGCGUAAAGCGCGUGUAGGUGGUUCCGUAAGUAGGGCGUGAAAGCUCCUGGCUCAACUGGGAGAGGCCGUUCUAAACUGCAGAGCUAGAGGAUGGUAGAGGGAGGUGGAAUUCCGGGUGUAGCGGUGGAAUGCGCAGAUAUCCGGAGGAACACCAGUGGCGAAGGCGGCCUCCUGGACCAUUCCUGACACUCAGACGCGGAAGCUAGGGUAGCAAACGG
rnacentral:rRNA from 1 species